UACGUAGGGCGCAAGCGUUGUCCGGAAUUAUUGGGCGUAAAGCGCACGUAGGCGGCUUAGCAAGUCGGAUGUGAAAUCCCUCGGCUCAACCAAGGAAGUGCAUCCGAAACUGCUGAGCUUGAGUACUUAAGAGGAUCGCGGAAUUCCCGGUGUAGAGGUGAAAUUCGUAGAUAUCGGGAGGAACACCAGUGGCGAAGGCGGCUCACUGGCCCGGAACUGACGCUGAGGUGCGAAAGCGUGGGGAGCAAACAGG
rnacentral:rRNA from 1 species